UUGCAUCCACAUCACGUUGAAACAUCGGUUCCCAUACCAUCACAAAAAUUAAGCAACACUGAGCCUGGUUAGUACCCAGAUGAGUGACCGCUUGGGAAAACCUAAUGCU